AACGAACGCUGGCGGCAUGCCUAAUACAUGCAAGUCGAACGAGACCUUCGGGUCUAGUGGCGCACGGGUGCGUAACGCGUGGGAACCUGCCCUUAGGUUCGGAAUAACUCCCCGAAAGGGGUGCUAAUACCGGAUAAUGUCUUCGGACCAAAGAUUUAUCGCCUUUGGUUGGGCCCGCGUUGGAUUAGCUAGUUGGUAGGGUAAAAGCCUACCAAGGCGAGGAUCCAUAGCUGGUCUGAGAGGAUGAUCAGCCACACUGGGACUGAGACACGGCCCAGACUCCUACGGGAGGCAGCAGUGGGGAAUAUUGGACAAUGGGCGAAAGCCUGAUCCAGCAAUGCUGCGUGAGUGAUGAAGGCCGUAGGGUUGUAAAGCUCUUUUACCCGGGAUGAUAAUGACAGUACCGGGAGAAUAAGCUCCGGCUAACUCCGUG
rnacentral:rRNA from 1 species